CUUUCUAUUCAAAUACAAUCAAACUCUAUAAUUUAUCUACUUCAGUCUUACACCUUCCUUUUUAAUGCAGAGCUACAACUUAGUAAGGAAAAGAGGGAAAUAUGCCCUUACUAGCAGCUACUCUACAGCUCCACGUACUUUCCUACGUACUUUUCUCUCUCUCCACCUUUUCUCUUUAGCUAUAUAUGUAUAUGUACUCCUAAUUAGCUAGCUCAAUGGAUUGAACUCUAGCUCUGUUCUCCGAUCCAUUUUUUGUCUACCACUCACAUUAUUAUAUAAAAUGCUUAUUAUGUGUUAUUGUCAGUGAUAUAAAUGAUAUGAUCCAUCAUGCCUCCUCUUCAUGAACGAAAUCCAUGACGCAAUUUCCCUUAUUGAAGGACGCAAUUGAGUUAUUCAAGGCAAAUAAUUAAAAGUCAUACAUUUUUAAUGAGGCAUAAUAAAUGCCAGAGUAGAUUCUCUGCUAUCCACGUCAUUAAUAAAUGAAUAAUUAAGGGCAUUUUUUCCCGUCGUUAAGGAGAUUUUUUUCCUCGUAACAACAGUAGUCCUUGAAUUGGUUCUAUGAUAUUCAACAAGUGUGUGUUUAUUAACAAAAAAUAUAGUACGAUCCUAAUUUAGAGUAGAAACUCCUUAUUUCUCCCCCAUAUUGACGAAACCUGGUCAUUAUCUUUGGGUCAUAAUAUCCUCUCUUAUCGAUUGAUUCAAUUAUUAAAGUUUUAAAAAGUCUGCCAAGUCUUUCGCCAUGCGACAAUUGGAGUCAAGAAAAGGUGGAGGAGGAGACAAGUUGUUUGAUAAUUACUGGAAGCAAUUGACAAGGGAUGCAUCAGUUAUAGAACGAGCUCCAUCGAAAAAUUCUAGUAGGAUAAUCCAUCCAGACUAUGACAAUGAUGAAUCAGGCCUAUAUCGUGCAAAGUCAGUGAAUCCUGAAACACGUGGAGCGAAAGAAAUCAACGAUACCUCUCAGACUAAAAUAAACACUCCGAUCGAACUCAUGCUUUCAAGAAUGAUUGAGGAACGUAUAUAUGUUGCUUAAGCCUUAAAACUAUAGACAGUGUGGAAAAAAGAAAUCCAUUAAUAUUCCAAAAGAUGACUUUAGUAACGUGCAUAUCUCGAUGUAUAAGUGCGAUUAGUUUACCAUAUAAUACUAGACCCCUGUAAGCGAAGGCUCAAGCGCGCGUGCUACAAAUGGCAUAGACGAACAGAGAAAUCACUACAAUGGCAUAACUAAAGAGGGGAUCUGUGUAAAGAAAAAACUAAGUAUAAUGAUUAGAAAAGGAAAAAGGGUUGAUACGUGUGCUCUCUCUUCUUCUUUUGUUUAUUAUAUAUAAAGGUUGAUGGAAGUGUUAACAUCUUCCUCUAAAAGAAGAAU
rnacentral:lncRNA from 1 species